rnacentral:tRNA from 1 species
GUCCCAGUAGUAUAAACAUUACUCUGGUCUUGUAAGCC